GUUCUCACUUCUGCAGCACACACUACAACUGGAAUGGUGCAGAGAUUAGUAAAGCCUCUGCACAAGGAUGACAUACAAAUCUGUGAAGCAUUCCAUAUUUUU